rnacentral:rRNA from 1 species
UACAGUGACGGCUAGCGUUGCUCGGAUUCAUUGGGCGUAAAGGGUGCGUAGGCGGCGCGGUAAGUCGGGUGUGAAAUCUUGGAGCUUAACUCCGAAACUGCAUUCGAUACUGCCGUGCUUGAGGACUGGAGAGGAGACUGGAAUUUACGGUGUAGCGGUGAAAUGCGUAGAUAUCGUAAGGAAGACCAGUGGCGAAGGCGGGUCUCUGGACAGUUCCUGACGCUGAGGCACGAAGGUCAGGGGAGCAAACGGG